rnacentral:lncRNA from 1 species
GUCACUUAGGCAUAACUGACCUGUUUGAUGAGGGCUUUACAGCAACAAGAGCUAUAGUUCAGUUUCUAGGACUCUAAGUUCCUUCUUGCCCUGUUUCCUCUUAUCUUAUCAAAACACAGUUUCAGCAGCUAGAGAAUGCAGGUAGGUAGAGGCCCCUCUGUUGGCUGAUUCCUUCCAUAUGUGGGUUAUUUCAUUUUCCAAGGGGCCCUAGGGUUUGGGAAAACUACUUGUCCAGUGUAAUCACCUAUGAGCUAGUAUAAACUCAAGCUUUGCUGCAAUUUAUUAGUCACUGACGUGCCAAGAGAGAAAAAAAAAAAGGUUGGAAGAAACUAAGAAAACAGCCGUUUGAGAUUCUAGUCUAAGGUUCAUUUGAGCAUGUUUGGGGUUUAAAAAAUAUUAGAUCUAUUUCUAUCAGCAUCCAUGCAACAUCCUGCACAGAGUGAUAUUUUAAAGCCAAUAUGGCUUCAGUGAGCCCACAUUUCCAAAACAGCCCCAAAUGGGUUUUAGCAACAAGCCUCUGACCCCCAGCAAUAUCGGUGUUUGAAGCCCUCUGAGAAAUCAAGGCAACAGGCCUGUUUUAGUGUUGCUCUGUAAAUUCUGAAUGGCACAGAGCAUCUUUUAGAAGUAGAAAGCUGGUACGCCCUAAAGCAGAUGAAUGUCUUUCUUGAAAACUAAGUAGUCAUCACAUUAGUGCUGAGUAGUUUCUUAAAAAUCUUCCUUUUAAAAAGUAGGGGAAUGUAGGCUUAGAGAAUAAAUUUCAUUCGGCAAGCUGAGUCCUUACUGCGUGUGGCACUGUGACAUAGUGGAAGAAGAACUCUUGUUGUCAUGGAGCUUAGAGACUGGCAGAUGAGUCAUACAUGAUAAAUAAAUGUAAGACAAAGACUACAAUCAGUACCAUAAAAAAGUAUAUCAUAGACAUGUUUGAUCCGAGACGGAAGGUUCCAGACACCUACAUGUCUAUGUUCAGAAGCUGCCUUGAUGCCACAUGCGGGAGGCUGGAAACGCUGAAGGAUGACCACUGCUCAGCAGCAGUCUACCAGUGAUGGAUGAGAGUUGGUGCACAAAUACCCCAGCUCCCUUGCCUCUCAGUUUGGAUAAUCCUGAAAAGGUGUGUACUAUGCUAUUUCUGAGAUUAAGCCCUAGUUACCCAUAGUGGUAGCUAAAUAUAGUAGUUGGCUGUAUUCUCCAUCACUUCUUGAAUCCCCUGCCAGUGUUCUCUGCACCUCCUUAAUAAAC